GACGUAGGGCGCGAGCGUUGUCCGGAUUUAUUGGGCGUAAGGAGCUCGUAGGCGGCUUGUCGCGUCGUCCGUGAAAACUUGGGGCUCAACCCCAAGCUUGCGGUCGAUACGGGCAGGCUAGAGUUCGGUAGGGGAGACUGGAAUUCCUGGUGUAGCGGUGAAAUGCGCAGAUAUCAGGAAGAACACCCGUGGCGAAGGCGGCUCUCUGGAACGCAACUGACGCUGAGACGCGAAAGCGUGGGGAGCAAACAGG
rnacentral:rRNA from 1 species